GAGGGUAUAGCUCAGUGGUAGAGUGCAUGCCUAGCAUGUACAAGGUUCUGGGUUCAAUCCCCAGUACUGCCA
rfam:Camelus ferus unplaced genomic scaffold scaffold495, whole genome shotgun sequence.